GUGUCCUGAACGGAUUAAAAACCGAUGCAGAGCCAGCCACAUUUCUGCUUGACAAUGCCUGUGUGAGAGGGAGGGUUGAUUCUAUGAAGGAACCUGCCAACUACCACAUUUUGCUGACCAUCUGGCAAGAAGCAGUUAUGCACCUGUUAGGAGCAGCUGCAGGAGACAGGAGCUAGCCUGACUCUAGCCUACAAUUGAACUCCAAUCCUCAGUCUCAGGGUCUCUGCUGUGUCGUUAUUGUUCACCUCAUCCUUUGUCCUUGAGCUCUAAAUGGCCUUGAUGUCGAGACGGCCAUUCAAAACCAGCAAAUCAUUUCAUUCUUUGAGGAAGAGUCAUAUGAAUCAAACAUGGAACAAAUCACAGGGGUCAACAGCUGAUUAGAACACCGGUGAGGCGGCACUCUACAGACGACCUUCGACCCCCGGCAGCCUCUCCGUUUGGGCAGCGGGCCAAUAGGAGGCAGCGCGGCCUCCCUUGUUGCCAUGGAGACAGGGCCUGCUGAAGCGCAGAUGGCUCAGCAGGGGGUGGAGUGGGUGGAGAGAGAAAGACAGCAGACAAUGGAGGAUGGAGCAAAUAAGUGAGAGAGAGAGAGAGAGAGAAAGGGGAAAUGCAGUUAGCAGGAUGGCCGGUAGAAGGAGUGUAUGAGUCUGCAGGCGUCUCAGAAAAGGAACACAAUGAGAAAUGCAGAGACUUGUGCAGCUAAAAGCUUCUUUG